AUUUUGCUAUUAAUUAGAACAAUCAAUCAAUUUGACUUUAGAAGAGCAAAUUUACAUUUUAACAUCUAUUCCAAAUGAUCAUUUCUGGAGUUGGCAAAAUCAGAUAUCCACUAAUGUAAAGUUUGAGCAAAGAUUACCAACUUGUGUUAGAUAUUUUCCUGCCUCUUCAAGAAAUAGAAUCAUACAAGCAUGUUGUUAUCGUGAAGAUCCUAGCAAAAUAGUUUCAGCAGUGUUAGAGGUUCUCAUGGGUAAAAAUGAUAUAAUAAUCCCAUACACUAAGGAAAAAAAGGAAUUGAUGGUUAAAAUUGAUGCUGUUGCAACAUGCGAUAAGAAACAAAGUAAGUUGUAUAAUUAAUCUAAACAUUUAACUACAACUUAUGGAAAUACCAUAACAAUAAAUAUUUAAUUUUUGUACAAUUUAAUAUUUGUACAACAGGAAUAGAAUGUCAGUAG